CAGUCGCCGCGGGAAAACGUAGGGCGCAAGCGUUAUCCGGAAUUAUUGGGCGUAAAGAGCUCGUAGGCGGUUUGUCGCGUCUGCCGUGAAAGUCCGGGGCUCAACCCCGGAUCUGCGGUGGGUACGGGCAGACUAGAGUGAUGUAGGGGAGACUGGAAUUCCUGGUGUAGCGGUGAAAUGCGCAGAUAUCAGGAGGAACACCGAUGGCGAAGGCAGGUCUCUGGGCAUUAACUGACGCUGAGGAGCGAAAGCAUGGGGAGCGAACAGGAUUAGAUACCCGGGUAGUCCCUGUCUCUUAUAC
rnacentral:rRNA from 1 species